CCUGCCAUCAUUAACUUCAGAAGAUGAUGCUCCAUUAUUCCGAGACUGUGAAGUCAGGGUUCUUGGAGAAAUAUAAUUUUCGGAACUCAGUGACCUUGUAUUUAAGGAAUCUUGACUAGAUCUUCGUGAAAAGAAGAUUCUUGAAAUGGUCUCUGAGACGAGCCAGCCCUUUCUGAACUGCUUAUAGUUGGAGUUUCAUUUCUACUUGAAAGAUAUGAAAAUGCAGGAUGUGAACUGUUUCGAAAAGAUUCUGAUUGUCUUGGAGAAAAAUGGGAUCUGAAAGAACUUCUACUAGAGUCCCUAGAACUUGGUACUGUCUGAUGCUCAGAAGGCAGUUGGUGAUUGGUGGAUGAAUUCAACUGUAAAGUGUUCGCGGCAUUCUCUUUUGGUCUUGCUCCCUGUGAAUAUGAAGAAGGAACUCUUUCUUGAACAUCUAUUUUUGAAAGAAGGGAAGGUAACCAAUUAUGAAAUAAUUUAAGCAUUAUUGAAUACACAUUUAUUGACUCCUGCCAAAUUGAAAGACUAGGGUUUGAAAUGAAUAGUGCUACCAUGUAACUAUACAGGAACUAUUAUAGAAAAAAAUAUAGAAAAAAAUUUACUUCUGAAGUACUCCCAAGGUAGAGUACAAACUCAAAGUAGAGGUCUACAUAUUCAAACACAAGUAUGAAAGCUUACUCAACAAAGCCGAUGAGGCAAGUUAAAGGCAAACUGAUACUGAUACACAACUUUAGGUCAAGUAAUACAGUGUAAUGAUAAAAAAUACAUUCCAGGAAAACAGUUCUGGAGAUUCUUCUUAUUCUAUGCAAAAAAUAUGAAGAUUAUUUUACAUGAAUGUUAUUGCCCAUAUGAUUUCAUGUUAUGUCAGGUAAGAAUGUCUAGCCCUUUAACAGUGGCUUGGAACCGUGCUCAAUACAGGCCUCUGCUAAUGUGCAUUUUCAAAAGCAGGGCAGGGAGGAGGGACACUGUCAGCACUUUGGUGGCAGAGGGAGGAGAAUCAGAGUUCCAGGCUCCUCUGGGUUACAGGGUGGCCUUGCCUCAAGGUCAACAAGAUAAAAAUAGACCUCCUUAACUAGUUGUUUCAAUCUGAGUGGGGAUAAGAAACACUUCCUAUAUACCUGGGUAGGAGGCACAUUUAUCACUGUAUUAAACUGUGGAGUUUAAUCUGACUGUGACUUAAAGGAGCACAAGCCCCACUCCUGCACGGCACUGCUAACUGAGCAGCACCCUUCUGUGUUCAGUACUAAGACGGUCAACUCUGAAAAGCUCAAGUCAAUGUGAGAAAAACCAUAUGUUUCAAAAUUUAAUUAAAAUCAAGACAAUCACACAGGUCCACAUAAUCCUUAAAAUGGUAAGCUGAGGGGUUAGGAAGAUGGCUCAGCAGUUAAGAACACUAGCUUUUUUGAAGGACAUGGGUUCUAUUCCCUGCACCUACACAGUGACUCACAGCUCAAAUUUAGAGGCUCUGUCACAGUACUCACUCCCUGGGCACUAGGCCCACAGUAGUGCAUAGUCAUACAUGUACCAUUAAACAGUGUAACCAGCAUAUAGUUAUUUCAUAAUCCAGCUAGAAGUACACAUUAAAACUGUUAUAGACAACUCACACUGUAGAAAAAAAUUAGCUGGUAAUACUUAUUAACAUGUAUAAAUUUUUUUAAAAGCAGACAGAACCUGAAUACUCAAGAACAGGUUUUAGACUGUUUAUAUUUUUUAGAGUAAAACAAAGAUACUAAAGAACAUUACAGUUCCGAUAUCUCCAUAAGAAAUUAAACUUCACGUCAUUUCCUCCAUUCUGAUUAAUGACACAGAGAACAACUGCAGUAACACACAAGCUGUACGUAACAACACAGUGUCUACAUACAUGCUGGAGCUGUGAAAUCCCCACUCCGGUGACUAUAGUCCAUAAGACUGCUAAUGGAGGAGUCCCUUCUCCUCUCCAGAUCUCUCCUCUCUCUCAUCAAGUCUGUUCCAAAUGAACCAAGGACCAUUGAAGAAGAUCUCGGAACUUGACCAGGCCUCCAAGAAGAAUCUUAAAGUAAAGUAAUGAAGUUUUGAGGUUCGUACAUCAUUAACAGUACAGUGAAGGCAGAUAUUCUCAUUAUAGCUAUCUCCAGUUAUAUAGUUACAAUCACAAGCCAGGUUUGGCAAAACAAAAUAAUUUACUAAUAAUCUAUUCACCUCCAAAUUAUCUUUCUGCUCAAAAUCCUUCUUUUUGGUGCUGAGGACCUAACCCAGGAUUUCAGAUAUGGUAAAUCUAUGUUACCAACACUGCAAACCUAUCCUCAUAAGGUAAAUGUCUCAGUCACUCUAUUAUGCCUGCCCAUGUACAAUGUAAUAUUAUGCUAAAAUAAUUAUAGAUCAAAAAUGAAACUUUGCCAAGGUACAGAACAUGUCAGAAACCACCAAAACCAAAACCAUAGUCCAGGCAUAGUGGCUUUAACCCCAGCACUAGGAGUGCAAAGGCAGAAUCAGGCAGGCAGAUUCUGUGAGUUCAAGGUCAGUUUGAUAUAUACAGUGAAGUUCUAAGUCAGCCAUGACUACAUAAUAAGACCAUAUCUCAAAAUAAAUACACUUUAAAACAAAACUAAAGCUAUUUUAAUCUGGUAAUUGAGUUACAGAACAAGCAAAUUUUGUCACAAAAAAGGUUUUUCUCCACCCUGGAAAUUGGAUGUAAAUGCUUGUAAAUUCUAAGUAUGUAUUAUAUCAGCUUCAGAAAUAUUUGCACUGUCACAUUUCACUCAUUUAUUCUAAGAAUUCAUCUAUUUCUGCAAUAAUACUCUGACUUUUAUUAGAUAGGAUCUUACUUAGAAGUAAACUAAAGUUAAUUCUCAAAUAUAUUGUCCACUCACUACCUUGAAAUUUUGUUUCUUCCUCUUCUAGCUUUAGAAUCUUGUUGUCCACACCACCUCCCGUUUUUCAAGAUAGGUUUCUAUGUAUAAGACAGCCCUGGCUGUUAUGGAACUUGCUUUGUACAUGAAUGAGGCUGGUCUCAAACUCAGAGAUCCACCGCAGUGCUGCCUAGGUGCUUGGAAUCAAAGUCAGACUCCACCUUGCUUGGCUUCGACAUUGAGGGAAUCACUCAGAGAGCUUAAUGUCACACCUUUACAUAGCAAACGAGAACAAAAAUGUGCCUACAAAGAUGGGGUUAGCCCGCUCUUACCCAUCUCGCUACCUUUAGCAACCCUCAGAGGUACAAUGUCUGCUCCUUAAAAUGGAGAGGAACUGCUCAUACUAAUUCAGUUGGUAAUGUACAAGCAUUUUAAGCUGGCCUACAAAGUGAGUUCUAGGACACAGAAAAAUCCUGUCUUGAGAAACCAAAAAAAAAAAAAAAAAAAAAAAGGCAGAAAGAAAGAAGAAAGUGUUCACAAAUUCUGUUUCCUUUUACAACUUUUUAUCUAACAUUUUACCGUAGCUGUUUCAGUAAGGAAGAGUUUCCUGCCCAUCUAACAAGAUUUCUUUUGAACAACACAUAAAUACAUAAACUUAAGAAAGGAAGCAGGGGGUUGGGGAUUUAGCUCAGUGGUAGAGCGCUUGCCUAGCAAGCCCUGGGUUCGGUCCCCAGCUCUGAAAAGAAAAAAAAGAAAGAAAAAAAAAAAAAAAAAGAAAGAAAAGAAAAAAAAAAAAAAAAGGAAGCAGUUGCCGUUCUUGUACACUUAGUAUGAGAGAACCAUGACUUUCUCAUUCCUUAUCUAGAGCUCUUAGCUUCCGACUUCUUUUUAAUUAAGAGUUUCCACAUUAUAUGAACAGUAUCAUAUACUAUGUUUAUCAGUGUAAAAACACACGGUGAGAAGGUGCUGAGAGAAUGCUUAAUGUCUGUCAGAUAUGGCUUUCACAGGAACACUUUAAAAACUUCUCUUUCAAAAUACGAAACAGAACUUCUGCUCAUGACUUUCACCAAUUUGAUUACUAUGCACUAAUGUUAGAGCUGAGAUAGUGACACAUGCCUUUAAUCCAUACACUAAGUUCUGGACCAGGCAAGGCUACACAGUGAGAAAGAAAACCACACCAAAAACAAAGCAGUCAUUCUACCUAAUUAAAAUCUACUAACAUUCUGUACGUAAAGCAAAAAAGGCAAAAUGAAGAGCUGGUUUAUUUUUACCACCAAUUUAAGGUAAAGUUCUGGAAACUAACUAAAUUUCCAAAUCCACUAUUGUAUAGAAACUAUUUAAUUAAAAAACUUAAGAAUCUUAGAGGUCCCCCCUUUGUGGUUCAAAACAUUCAUAAAUUAACUUUAACAGAAACUGCAUAAAUUCUUACCUGACAGUGUAUUUAAACCACUUCCAAUAUUUCUCCCAGCUGAGGUAGACGUACAGUUUGUACAAGAAAGUUUAGGUCUUUUUGAAUCAUGAUCCCUUUGCUGGUUUUGUGACCGUGACCGUGCUCCCUGAGUUAUCUCAGACUCACUGUACCAAGUAGACUGAUAUGGUGAUGCAGAUGCUGACGCUGAGGCAGACUAUAAAAAGAAAUUAAAAGGAAUAACUGUUGCUAUUUCUUAAGAUAUUUCAGAGAAGAUAGUAAUCUUUAAACAAUCAGGUUAAAGGCUGGUGGCAGGUAAGGUGGCUGCGCUGGGGAUUACAGUCUCUCGGAACCUAGGUAUGCACGACUGAGACAGACUGAUUAAUCACCUAACAUUAGAAGCAGGGUAUUACUAGCUGUAUUCUUAUUUUACCCACUGCUUUGUGCAUAUGCAAAGUCAAAUUAGUAUGUAUACUGAUUGGAGGAGGAUACUCACCACUUCGGUAUUAAAGUAAAGAAAGUUUACUCUAGUAUUUUUUUCCAAAUGCAGUUUUGAAUUUUAGAAAAUAUUUUAUACAAGACUACAUUCUUUUAUCCACAAUUCUGAAGUCUCCAAAUCCUGAAAAUCGUUAGCUAUUUAUUUUGUUUCUAUUUUAACAAUUUAAGAUCGUAGGAUGCUUCAGGUGCGGCUAUUUAAAAAAAAAAAAAACAAACCUAAUAAAUGUACCCACAGCUUUUUGAAUUUGAAUGUACAUAUAUUCAAGUUAAAAUACUACCUGAUAUUCAGAAUCCAGUCUAAAGGAAGAGUCUCUAGAAUGAUAGGAAUCAUUUAAACUGGUUCCUCGGUUUCCAGAUACCAUCCUAGCACUUAAAGAGCCAGAGGGUUGAACAGAAAUUCUUCUUGGAAUCCUGGAAGGUUUAGACUCCAUUCUUAAGGUUUCCUGCAAAAUGCAAAUUUGUUAAUUUUAUUUAAGAAGAUAUGCAAGAACCCGUUCCCCCUUCCCCCCUACAUACAACAAUUUAUUCUGAAAAGGUUCAUUUAGUUUGAGACCCAAAUCAAGUCUCAUUAAUGAAAAAGCGACCAUUCAACCACACUAACCGCUCCAGCCCAGCUGCACAGGUAACGGUGCUAGCCUUGCAAGUCUAGGAGCAGAUCUUUCCAGAACCCACACACAUGUGUAGAAGGAUCGUACUCUCAGAACUCCUCAAAACUCCUCCAGUGGAGAAGAGAGGCAGAGAUGGCAGGCAGAGAUAAGAAUCACCAAUUCACAGAGAAGUUCUAUCAGUCACAAUUCACCUGGAGACUAGAUGUACUUGCCUCAACAAGGAGGGAGGAAAGGACUGACUUCAGAAAACUGCCCUGUCUGCAUGCAUGUACAAAAUAAAAUUUAAAAUUAAAACAAUCAAAUAGCCAACUUUUGCAACAAUACUAAAGUGUGAAACUCUUCCCCUUUCUCCUUAAAGGCAGACUUAGUAGCAUCCAACUAAGAUUUCCUACUGCUCAUUUGACAACAUGGAAAGCUUUUCACACAGACCUGUCUUCCAAUGCCUGAACUUUUCCCUCACAUACAUUUGUCUUAGAUUCUCAUGCCAUCCUUCUUAAUAUAUACAAGUUUUAGUAAAUAUAGUCUCACAUCCUUCUGUAUACACCUGGGAAGUCAAAACAUUACAUUCCUUAUCUCACUUUUGAUAAUCAGAUUAAAUCAUCUUCUGUGUAAUUAAUUCUACUUUCCCCAUGAUUUUAUUAAGACAUCAUACUUAGACUUAUUUGCAAGUUUAUUUCCCCUUCCUCAAGAGUGCAUUUCUUUAAGUCAGGAUCAUUUAAACUACUCUAAAUCACUGCCUAGAAUAUGCAAAUGUCCUGGCAGAAAUACAGAUCCUUGUGACCCUCCUUUUGGCUCUCAGAGAUCCCAGCAUCCACAUCAGAUGGCUCACAACCACCUCUAACUCCAGCUCCAGGGGAUCCAUCCCCAUUCUUCUGGCCUCCAAGGACAGCUGCACAGUCUCUGACCCUAACAAUGUGGGAAACAGGUACUCAAAACAUACGAGUAGAAAACCCUAACAAAAUGAAUAUAAAUGAGUAUGUAAUUAUAGCACACAUAAACACAAUAGCUGGUAUUUACCAAAUAUCACAUGGAGUAAGAACUACCCACUACUCAAUGUUCAGUGAGAAACUUAGUCUAUUAGUUCGACCUUAUAAGAAAACUUGCUUAAAAUGAUUGGAAAGUGAUAUUUGAAGUGAAAAGCUCUGAGAUGGAACUGGUUACAUGGUGACUUAAGGAAGUGGCUAAGUUGGUAAGGUACUUGCUGUGCAAGCAUGAACACCUAACCUAAGUUCAGUCUCCAGCACACUCAUAAAAGAAGGGGUUUGGGGGACACACCUAUAAUCACAGUGUUAGGAAGACAGACACAAAAACCCUUAGAACCUGCUGGUGGAAAUCUGCAAGUUCCAGGUCAAUGAAUAAGGUAGAAUGCAAUUCUAGUAGACACCUAUUGUUGACCUCUGGCCUCCACACACACAUGCCCCUACAUAAACAUAAACAUAAACAUAAACACAAACACAAACACACACACACACACACACACACACACACACACACACACACACACCCUUCCCUAACUAAAUUCAGUUCAUGUAAAGUGUGGAACUGAGUACUUUCCACUUUUAUAGAUUCGCAAAUAAGUUUCUAAAUUUCUUCAGAGCAUAUCCCAUAGAAUAGGCAUCAUUAACUCUACCAGAUCCUUACCUAUAAAUCUAUUGAAUUAACACAAAUUAAUUCUGACUGGCUCUAAGAAUACCCAAGACAACAACUACCACCAAGACAAAAAUAAAAUCUUCAUUUUUUCCCUCUCCUGUUUGCUCUUAACCUUAGAUUUACUGAAACUAUAUAUCAUAGCCCUUCCAAGGACUUCCCAUCCCAAAAUAUGAGAGAAAGGCAUACCUGAAACAAUGAACAAACCAAAUACUGAAGUUACUAUGGUCAACAUAAAAACCUUGAUCAUAAUGACCUGCAAUUUGUGCAGAUUUAUGUAAAGAUUAGAAGUAUACACAUAGCCCACAUUCUAGAAGCAUCCAUUUUUCAAAACAAUGCUUAACCGAGGAACCCACCUGUCUGAUAUAAAGAAAUUAUCUCUUGAAAAAAUAUUCUUGUAAAAGACUCCUUUAGAACAAAGGGUGAGAUAGUCACUGAAGACAGGUACCAACUGCCUUCUAAUAAUGCUGGUUGUUGCUAAAGUUUUCUUUCUCUGUCACUCGAGUCACUAUCUCCAUCAGAAGGUAGCAGCUUCAUCUGCUUAACAUUUGUGGGAUUCUCUCAUGCUAAUAUCGCAUACAGUAUGCCACUACAUAUGUGUGCAUACUAAUUUCCCAUUCUGCCAAUGGAAAUUAGAUUGUCUUUUAUUACCAACACCAUUUAUACAAGCACACUGCCUUUAUAAAUCAAAAACCUUGGGGGCUGGCAAGUUGUCUGAGAGGGUAAAGCUCCUGCUACCAAGCCUAAGGACCCAGUUCUACCCCAUGACCUAUACAGUGAAAAGAGAUAACUAACUCACACAAGCUGUCCUCUGGUCUCCACAUGUACCUGGGCACACAACCACACAAAUUUAAGACUCAUGUUUCUCAUAGGUUAAGAGCAUGUAUAAAGAGGCUAUGAAUUUAGUUCCUAGCCCCCACAUAAGGCACUUCAUAACUGCCUGAGCUCCAGCUCCAGGGGGAUACCCAGAUACCUGCACAUACCAGUCCCCCAACACACAAUUUCUUAAAAUUAAUUUUCUUAACAAAGUUAAAAAAUAUAAAAAGUUUUUUCCUAAGACAGGGAUCUGUCCUCUGGAGACAGCCACAUUCAUUAAGAUUACAAAAGGGAAUCAAGAGAUAUCAAAAUACUCUCCCUAACUUUGCAUUAUCAAUUAUUUUUAAGAUCAAAACCUGUUUUAUCGCAUCCUGCAAUUUUCAGGCAAAUAUAGUCAUUUCACUACAUGUCUGAUGUGCAGCUUAGAUAAGAAGACAGCUCUACUAAAACAUUCAAACAGAAGGACAAAGUGUGAGUUUCACCUUUAGCAUAGUCUUCCUAACUUAUCAACUAACUUUCCUAUUAAUCAAAUCUUUCUACUUAAAUUUACAACAGAACUUAUUACAUUACUCUUUGUCUUUAAAACAUCAGCUAGUGACAAAAGACGAACAAAAAGCAGGACAGGCUGUACCUAAGUUACUCUAUUUGACAAGCCUGCAGUUUCUUUCUGCUAGGCUGUUUUCAGAAUAGGUCUAAGACAAAAUGAACAGGUAAUCUGUCUGGGCAGGUAGGUAGCCAUAAUGGAUACACAGAAUGAGAAGAACAGCCCUUAUAUUACAUACUGCAUAAGCAUAGAACAAAACCUAAUAACUUAUUUAUGUUAAUAAAAAUUGCUAUUGUGAAAUUACCAAAAUAAAUCAGGGAUACAUGGACAUAUCAAAUUAUAUCAGAAACAUCAGGCAUUUAGAUUUAUCAAAAACACCAUCCAAUAAAUGAUGCAGUCCUGACCUGAAACAUCAUAUAAACGGAAGGUAUGGUACCUAGGACCACGGCAUAGUGGCAACGCCAACUUGCUAUCAUGACCACUUGUGGUACUUAUUCUGGAAAUGAGCAGGAUUCUUCCAUGUCCUGUUCUUAUGCCUGUCCAUUUCAGAGCUGAGCUAAGCUAAUCUAGCCACGGGACCCUUGCCUAGACUGCACUGACCCCUUUGAUUAGUUGAGUGACUACCUUUAGCACCAGCCCUAGUCUUGACAUCAUCACUGGCCACUUUAACACUUUCUUGGUGUUUCUGUAUUUGCUGAGUAAACCACGGAAUGUAUAAUCAGGUGUUAACAGAAAUUACUAAUUAAGAUGGGAAUGUAAUAAAGAACUUGUGAAAUCAAUGGUAAUCAGCAAAGUAAAGCCAAUAAAACCUAAGUCAUUUUCAAAUUAUUAUUAAAUAAAUUGACUGAAAAAAGACAAAAAUGUUGAUCUGUUUCUGGCUAUGACAGAGCAAAUAUCAGACAGCUUAUCAGUCUGUAACAAGUAAAAAAGUGACGUGUCGAGUAUCUUAUGCAGCUGGGAAUUUCCAGCAAAUGAGAAGAGUCAGAGCAAUGGCAGACGUACUGCAGCCCCAUCAGCAACUACUGCCAACAGCUGUCUUGUGCGCAAGUUUCAUAAAGCAGGAGUAAGUGAAUCAAAAAAAAAAAAAAACCGUUAAAAAAGUGACUAAGGAACUGUGAAGCAAGAAGCAUCACCGGUGGUUUAGGGAUCUGAAGUAGGAGGGUGAUGCUAUCUAUAGUCAGGCCCCUGAAAGAGAUGAAAACCAGAAACAAAGCAUCUAACCUUAGCACAGAACAAAAACCUGGAGACACAACAAACCAAACCCAAACCAACACCACCACUGACGACGGCAACAAACAUCUCAGCAUAACACAAUUUCUAUGGAAACAGUAUGACAAUUCCUCAAGAAUAAAAACAGAAUUUUCAUAGAACCUAGCCAUUCCACUUCUCGGCAUAUACCAAAUUAAAGCAAACCAAGCUAACCAACUGAAAAUAAGGUCUUGGAAUGUUUGCACAUCGAAAUCACACAGCACUGUUGACAACAGACACAAGUGGUAUCAGUAAAUAAACAAACAACAUGUGGUGCAUACACACAACUCAUUAAGAUGCUCAUCAGGUAAGGCGCUGGUACCAAGCUGAAUGGCUUGAGUUGGACCUCUGCAAUCUGCAGGGUAGAAAACCAAUUGCUACAAACUUCUCUGCCCUCCAUGCAUAUGCGGUGGCACACACAUGCCCGUGGGCACACACUUCACCCACACACUAAAAUUAACUGGGUGUGGUAGUACGUAUCUAUAAUCCCAGCACUUAAGAGAUGGCCCAAGCAGAUCUUUUCAAGUUCAAGGCCAGUCUGGUGAGUUCUAGGACAGCCAAGAUACACAGAAAGGAUACAAUGAAAAACCCUAUUCUCAAAGAUCCAAAAAUAAAAUAAAUGUAAAAUGUCAAAAAGCUUUAAAGAGAGCAUUCUAACCUGUGAAGGACUAUUAAUCAGCCUUGACUUGGAGAAAUAAGUCAGACACAAGACGACUAUUGUAUGAUUUUAAAUAUUUAACAUACUCAAAGUCAUAAAGAUAAAAAACCAGAAGGGCAGUGACCAAGAAGAAUCAACACUUACACCUUAAAGUGUGUACAGAUGAAAAGAACUGUGGUGAUAGGCAGUGAUAAUGGUUAUACACACAAGUGUACUUAAUAAAAUUAAUUGUACUCUUAAAAUGCAAUUGGGAUGGUGAGUUUUGUGAUGUAAUUUCACCACAAUAAAAAAAGGGGGGGGGGGGGAGAUGAUGCAUGAGGCUGAAAAUUCCAUUUAUUUAAAAACCUGUAUUUAAAGAGACAGAGCAGUUGGUAGAGUGCUGGUGUAAGCCACAUGAAGACCUACAUUCAAUCCUUAUUACCUAUACAAAAACUGGUGUGGUGGUGUAUGUUUUUAAUCCCAGCCCUGAGGAGGUAGAGAAAUACUGCAUGCCAGUGACAGUGUCCGUCUGUCCAUCCCCCGUCUGUCUAUCUCUGUCUCUGCCUCUCACACACACCUAUACCCACCCACACCCAUACUCACACACAAAACAAACAGUAAAGACAACUCUUGAGGAGUUGUAACCAGACUUUGACCCCCCAGUAUGUGUUUAGAGAAACAGAACGUCAUAGUCUUCCCAGCUCCGGCCCCUCAAAGAUGGAAUAUUUAAUGGGGGGGGGGGGGCUUCGGGACACCUACAGCUAUCACCUCCACGAGCCAACAUGACCAGUUUCUGUAUAUUUUCAUGAAUGGAUCAGUUAAUCUAUUUAACGGAUUUUAAUACUUUUAAUAUUAAAGUUAGUAUUUUUAAUAGUCUAUUUUAAAAUUUUAAUAAUCUACAGACUUAAUAUUGAAACCCAAAGUCUCUUUUCUGGCCCUGUGUCUCCAAAUAUUGUGUGGAUAUUUAAAUUUUCCUAUUUUUAAAUCACUAAAAACUUUAAGAGGUCAGGGCAGAGGCGAUAGCUUGGUUCAGCAGUUAGCUAUGAAGGAUGGAUGUUCUUGCAGAGGAUCUGGGUUCCAUUCUCAGCACCCACGUGAUAAUUCACAACCAUCUGCAGGCCUAUGUAUAGCACACACGCGCGCACACACACAUGCACAGGCAAAUACUCAUGCACAUACAACAGAUCUAAAAUUUUUUUUUUUUUUGGUUCUUUUUUUCGGAGCUGGGGACCGAACCCAGGGCCUUGCGCUUCCUAGGUAAGCGCUCUACCACUGAGCUAAAUCCCCAGCCCCCAGAUCUAAAAUUUUUAAAACACAAAGUCAGAAGUAAGAUUUCUAAUAAUAAAACAUUUGGAACACUCUGAAAAACCCAACUUGCUAUGGCACCAUAUGUAAUGUGAGAAUGCCUGGAAUGUAGGAGGCCCUGGGAGGACCCCUUUCACAGGGAAAAAAGAAGAAAGGAAUGAAGGACAGGAAGACAAAAACAACCAAGCUCACCCAAACUAUCUGUCCCCCAACUCCAUUAGUUAUCAAAAGUGUCAAACCUGCUUUUUAAUAACAAGGAAAACAUCAAGCAUAACUACUCAAUGAACUGAUAUUAUAUAAAAAACAAAAAUAAAACAAUGACCAUGAAAAGAACUUACGGGUGAUGAGAGGGAAACUGUGAAGAAAAGGUCGGAUUAUCAUCCUCGAAGGGUUCAGAUUAAGAUGUGUAAGAAUAUGCAACAAGGAUUGUAAGAUUUGUGGAGAUUCUAAAUGUAAUAUGCUUAAAAAUGAGAAACAAUGAAAGGGGCUAAGCAUAAAAACUGAAAACAAACCAAAGAAACAUUACUCUUCUCAUUGCUGUGACCAAAAACUAAACCAGAACACCAUUGACAAGAACCAGCUGUAGAGAGAAGGGAGACUCUGCCAACUAGAGUCUAAGGGAUGCGGUCCACCUUAGUGGGAAAGGCAUAGCAGCAGCAGAUAAAGCAGCUGGUCACAAAACAUGAGUGAAGGAGGACAGCCUAUCCAACCACAGGGCUCACUCCAAGUGAUGCACUGCCUCCAGCUUAGUUACCACAGGUGCCACUUACCCAAGGUCCCACACUCUCUCCACACAGCUCGAGAUGGAACCCAAAUGUCCUAACACAAUUACAACAAAUAUCUAACACCAUACCACUAAUUCCAGGUCCUAGCUUACUAAACCCAAAAUAAGUGGACCCAGAAUAAAAGUGGUUUACUGUUUGUUUACAAUAUUCUAAGGACGGGGACUGAAGCCGCUAGAUCAUUCUGAUGUGGUUAGCUAGGUGGAGUACUUAGUCUCACAGUCAGGCACACAAAAGGCUCUCCCAAUGACAACUGUCCCCAGGUUUACUUUCCUGACCCUCCUUUUCCACCUAUAAUAUACAUGCACUCCCAUGCAUAAAAUACACAUUAAAAUAUUUUUUAAAAAGUAACUGUGAUUAUCUGGGAAAGGAGGUAUGCUUCUACCUGAAUGACUGCUAAUAUUCAGUCAUAAUAGUAUUAACAGGCUACUGAAUUUUAAUGUGCUAGAAGAUGGAAGAAUUUAAGAAAAAAGGAUAAUGACAACCAAAAAAACCUGCAUGAAAAACAUUCUGAAGUAGUACCAGAAACAAAUCUUUUAGGAAUAUGAAGUUAAACGAAUCCUAAGUGGGGGGAAACAUAUGGGGGGGGAAGGUAGGACCAGAAUGAGGAGUAAAAGUAAAUGACUGAUUUCCUUCUAAGAAAGGUGCACAUACUUCAUUUAUCUAGAAAAGUCUAAGUUUAUGAUCUGUAAACUCCUAAUUUAGGAUUACCCUGCCAAGAUAAGUCUAAACAAGCAUCACACCCAUAUAGCUCUGGCUGUCCUAAAACUCACUCUGUAGACCAGCCUGCCCUGUCUGUUUGUGCCUCUUGAGUGCUGGGAUUAAAUACUAAUGCCCAUACCCACCAACAAGGACACCUAAGUGCCCACACUUUUUAACUGCAGCUGUUUGAUAGUAAAGGCUAUGGUCACAUAACUCAGAAACCUGCCUACUACCUGCUUUGUCAUUUACAUUAACACUUGCUAAGUCCAUACAAAAUUGUUCACUACAAAGUAAAACUUAAUAUAGGAAAUUUAAAGACAUAUAUUUGGAGAAAAAAUAUUCAUGAUCACUGACAUUCAUAAGUUUUAUCUAUGAGUCUUCAACACUAAGAAGUAAAAGCCUAGAGUAUAUUAACAAACAGAUGUGUUACUUUUUCAAGGUAGCUACGAAAAAUAUGAAACAGGACUGUAUCUGUGUUGAGGACUUUGAACUGGAAGACAGCAUUCAUUAAAAGAUACAAGUCUACAACUAGAUUUUUUUGUUUAAGAUAUAUUCUAUCUAUUAUAUAUAUGUGAGUACACUGUAGCUGUCUUCAGACAUAUCAGAAGAGACAUCCAAUCCCAUUACAGAUGGUUGUGAGCCACCAUGUGGUUGCUGGGAAUUGAACUCAGGACCUCUGGAAGAGUAGUCAGUGCUCCUAACCACUGAGCCAUCUCUCCAUUCCUACUUCUGUUUUAAAAGCAGAGUGCUUAAUUGUCUCCCAUAAUUUACUGUGACUAUAUUCAUACCUAGUUCUUGUAGAAAGUAACUUAGGAUUUCUGUUCAAAACAAACCUCUUGAGAGAAGGCAGAGUCCUUCGAGAGAUAUAAUUUGAUACUGUAUGAAACUAUUUUUGGUAAUGCUGCUACAUAAACUGAUUGAAUUUUUACAAUGUAGGUAUUAUGUGAAAACUUAUAUAAUUGGUUGCAUAAGUUGUAGGUCAAAACCACAAAAAAUACCAAAAAAUAAAAUAAAAUGUGGUCCUUGAAAAACGUCUACCCAACAAAGAUCUAGAAAGCGGUUUUUAAAAAUCCAUUUACUUAAUAUAUUUUUAUGAAAUGUUUACUAUGUGCUGAGCACAUUAACUUUAAAAAGGAGAAUGGUAAGUUGAGCAGUAUACAUUAAGAAGUUGCAGUCUGGGGGCUGGGGAUUUAGCUCAGUGGUAGAGCGCUUGCCUAGGAAGCGCAAGGCCCUGGGUUCGGUCCCCAGCUCCGGAAAAAAAAAAAAAAAAGUUGCAGUCUGAUGAAGAACAAACUGUGUAAGUAAGUGUUAAACUCGGAAAAGACAUACAGGCAAGAACAGCAUCAGAACACAGUGUACUCAAUCUGUAUAUAGGACUUGUGCCUCUAAUGUAACCUUUAUCACACUGAACUGAUGAUACCUUGAGGCUCACAAGAAGGCCCAGUCAUGGAAAGUCUACUAAAGUCUGUGGUAUUGUCCCUCAAAAACAAGCAAGCACUGAUAGGCAUAAGGGACAUUUUCUGAUCUCUACAAAUUAUUCUGAAUGCAGAAAGAGGUUGCCACUUUAUUGAACUCUUAACUCCCAAGAUGAAGAUUCUGGGUAAAAACUCUCUUUAAGUAAUCAUCUACAUCUUUAUUGUAUCUUCCCCUUAAGGCAUUUUUAAAAAAUUUAUUUUAGGCCAGGUGUGGUGGUGUAUACAUUUACUUCUAGCAUUUGAGAGGCAGAGACAAGAGGAUCUCUGUGAGUUAGUUUGAGAUAGCCUGCUCUACACAGUAAGUUUCCAGACAGCCAGAGCUACAUGAGACCCUAUCUCAAAAACUGAAAAUAACUAGCUACAUAAAAUUUAUUUAUCUUGAGAUAUAAAGCUAUUUUUAGUAAUGAUUGAUAAAUGCACCAAGAGUUAUGUGUACAAAUUCCCAUGUUGGUGUAUUCUGACAGAUCAGUAGCUAUCAGUAGCUUCCUCCAGCUACUAAGAAGUUAACUUCCUCUUGCUAUAGAUAAAUUAUGAGAAUCUUAGGAAGCCCUUCAGAGCUCCCUAAAAUUAGUUCAUGCUUUUAGUGGUCUGUCAUACUACUCAAGGGGUUCUUUAUACACUUACAUACACACAUUCAUCAACAAGGUUAAGUAUGUUCUAUCCCAUGGAAAUAAUCUUGAAGUCUUCUUUUAGUCCAUGUAAAUAAAGGCCUAAAAACAUGUUUUCACCAGGAAUUAAUAUUUGAAAAUUAAAUCUACAUCUGAUAGUUGUUACCUACCUUCAUAUGCAGGCUGUGACUCAUUUGCACCACACACACAAAGUGUAAAACAAAACAAAAAUCCCUGAGGUCAGCACAAUACUACUGAGAAGAAAGCACACAGCCCUCUAGCCUCACACUCACUAAGGACAAAGCAGUGGCAGUCUACUGCUAGAGGAGCUUCUAGGCAAAUACAAGCUAAACCAGCACACAAAGACAACUGGGAUUAGUACCACAUCUACUUAGAAGGCUGAAAAUAAUGAUUACAAAACCCUCCAAAAAUGGGGCCAAUGAGAAGACUGUUCAAUCCCCAGAAUCCUCAUGGUGGAAGGAACUGGUUCCCACAGGUUGUCCUCUCAUAUGUACACAAGAUAAAAGUUUUAAAAAGAAAACCUCCAUAACAUUUAAAAAGAAAAAUGUUAUGGAAACAAUGGUUUCCAAAAACAAUAUGAAGUCGACUUCACAGAAAUAUUUGAAAUGACUUUUUGAUGACUUAAAAGUAGGAAAACAUGCAGAAAGAUAUUAAAGCAUGUUUAAAAUAAAAGCCAGAGAAUGUUAGGAUAAGUGCAAAUCAAAGCCCAGAAGAGGAACCAGGCAGCGUCCUCAGGGUAACUGCAGAGAGCAGGUCUCUCCUAUGUCCACUGCUCAAGCAUGUGAGCUUCAGUCUCUCCUUCCAAUCUGUUCUACAACUUUCAGAGAUGAAAUAAUUAGUAUCCCAACAAAACCUUUCUGUUUAGCACUAAUAAAUUCACAUAGAUAAUCCUGGCAUUUUGUGAUACUAAAAGGAACUUAAAAAGUGAGUUUCACUGCUUUGUGGAAGCCCAACCCCCACUUAUAGGAAUUCAAUGCUAAAAUGUUGAGAAGCUACUCAAGAUUUUCCAACAAGCUCAGUUAAUAACAAUCAGAAGUCCCCCAAGCUAGCUAGGCAACCAAUCAGGAUAUGGGAAGAGAAUCUGACUCCAAGACAGUGUUGAGGACCCAAAAAGAGAAGAAGUGAAAUGGAUGGCAGAUUUAGUACUUAACUUUCAAAGAAGAAAACAACCUAAAAAAAAAAAAAAAACUAGAGGGAGAGGGACAUGAAUUACUCAGUAAUGCUAAUAAACUAAUGAAUCUUGAUGUUUUCCUUUUUAUUCCAGGAGAUUUAGAAGAAGGAGCAAGAAAGUACAAAGUAGGAUGUUUUAAAGAAUGGGGGCAGAGACACAGAUGCUCAACAGUUAAAACACAGCUUCCCAGCGUCUGUACUGGGGGGCAGGGGUGGGCUCACAGCCAUAGUCCAGGGCCUGGCACCCCUUUCUGGCCUACACAGGCAAUCAACAUUAUGUGCACAAAUACACAGACAUACCCGAUUGGUACAACAGUAGGUGGAAGCUGUGU